AUGGCCACAUCACAUUGAAAUACUUGCUCCCAUAUGAUCACCGAAGUUAAGCAACGUCGUGACUGGUCAGUACCUAGAUAAGUAACCGCUUGAGAAUAACAAAUGUUGUAA